GUCAGCCAUGUCUAUCCAUGAAAACAUUCGUAAGUUUAGUUCUUCUAGUUUCAUGCUGUCUGAGGCUGAAACCAAAACACUGAAUUUUGAUGUCUUUUCC